CCUACGGGUGGCAGCAGUGAGGAAUAUUGGUCAAUGGGCGAGAGCCUGAACCAGCAAAGUCGCGUGAAGGAUGACGGCCCUACGGGUUGUAAACUUCUUUUGUCAGGGAGCAAUUGGGUCCACGCGUGGGCUUAGCGAGAGUACCUGAAGAAAAAGCAUCGGCUAACUCCGUGCCAGCAGCCGCGGUAAUACGUAGGGGGCAAGCGUUAUCCGGAAUUACUGGGUGUAAAGGGAGCGUAGACGGCAAUGCAAGUCCGGAGUGGAAUGCGGCAGCUCAACUGCCGAACUGCUCUGGAAACUGUAUGGCUUGAGUGCAGGAGGGGUAAGCGGAAUUCCUGGUGUAGCGGUGAAAUGCGUAGAUAUCAGGAGGAACACCGGUGGCGAAGGCGGCUUACUGGACUGUAACUGACGUUGAGGCUCGAAAGCGUGGGGAGCAAACAGGAUUAGAUACCCUUGUAGUC
rnacentral:rRNA from 1 species